rnacentral:rRNA from 1 species
UGGGGAAUUUUGGACAAUGGGCGCAAGCCUGAUCCAGCCAUGCCGCGUGCGGGAAGAAGGCCUUCGGGUUGUAAACCGCUUUUGUCAGGGAAGAAAUCUUCUGAGUUAAUACCUCGGGAGGAUGACGGUACCUGAAGAAUAAGCACCGGCUAACUACGUGCCAGCAGCCGCGGUAAUACGUAGGGUGCAAGCGUUAAUCGGAAUUACUGGGCGUAAAGCGUGCGCAGGCGGUUUUGUAAGACAGAGGUGAAAUCCCCGGGCUCAACCUGGGAACUGCCUUUGUGACUGCAAGGCUUGAGUGCGGCAGAGGGGGAUGGAAUUCCGCGUGUAGCAGUGAAAUGCGUAGAUAUGCGGAGGAACACCGAUGGCGAAGGCAAUCCCCUGGGCCUGCACUGACGCUCAUGCACGAAAGCGUGGGGAGCAAACAGGAUUAGAUACCCUGGUAGUCCACGCCCUAAACGAUGUCAACUGGUUGUUGGGAAGGUCCCUUCCCAGUAACGUAGCUAACGCGUGAAGUUGACCGCCUGGGGGAGU